rnacentral:misc_RNA from 1 species
UAUUCUAAGAGUAACUCGGUAAGCAUUUUUUGGCCCAUAAUGCGAUAACAUUAAUUUGCUUGCAGGACAAUAUCAUUUCACUGGACAUAUAAUCCUGGGGAGUCGGGAUAAAAAAUAAUUUGAAUCUUUCUGUAGCCAAGUUUGCUUAAUUGCUAUUGAAACAUGUUCAAUGAGAUUUAAAAUCUCAUAUUUUCUUGACAAUCUAAUAUUUAUCAUCUUGUGCACUGCUCAUAAAACGCUUGCCCCUAUGCAAUUCUUUGUUUCUUGUGAUUCCUGAAAGUGAAGUUGCUGGAACUUCAGGAAUGAACUUUGAUAGUAAUUUCACCUCUCAUUAGCUUUAAUUUAACUUGUAUUAUGAUUUAUGCAUUUAAUUUUCCUUUUAACAUUUCCAAGGUUGCGGUGCUUGCAGGUUAGAAAAAUUUUUGCAUAGAA